AACUGAAAGAGAGAAGUCAACUAUAAAUGUGGGGGAAAAAACUAUAAAUGUGCUUUUUCUUUUUUAACUGAAUUUUCUCUGAAAUAAAUUCUAUAAUUUCUUUCAAUGAAACUUCAAUUAUGACAAGGACUUUUAACCACAGUGAGUUAAACAAUGCUGAAAUUUUCUGGAACAGAAAAUCAGUCUAGGAAAUUUCAACUAAGAUAAAAAGCCAUGAAAUAGUAAGGUAAAGAAUUAUAUUUUAUGAAGUUAAAGGUCCAAAUCUUUAAUAACUAGUUACCUGAAGAUGAACAUAAUAAACAUAGCAUUCUUUUUUCUUACAAUAGGAAUUAGCAAGAAGUUUUGGACCAAGGUAAAUAAAGCAAUGGAAAAAGGAGACAAACAUGAAUAC
rnacentral:lncRNA from 1 species